rnacentral:rRNA from 1 species
GAUGAACGCUGACAGAAUGCUUAACACAUGCAAGUCGAUUCAAGUUACCUUCGGGUAAUGAGGAUGGCGGACGGGUGAGUAACGCGUAAGGAACUUGCCUCUUGGUCUGGGACAACUGUUGGAAACGACAGCUAAUACCGGAUAUUAUGAGAUUCUCGCAUGGGAAACUUAUGAAAGCUAUAUGCGCCAAGAGAGAGCCUUGCGUUCCAUUAGCUAGUUGGUGGGGUAAUGGCCCACCAAGGCGACGAUGGAUAGCCGGCCUGAGAGGGUGAACGGCCACAAGGGGACUGAGACACGGCCCUUACUCCUACGGGAGGCAGCAGUGGGGAAUAUUGGACAAUGGGCCACAAGCCUGAUCCAGCAAUUCUGUGUGCACGAUGAAGGUCUUCGGAUUGUAAAGUGCUUUCAGUUGGGAAGAAGAAAGUGACGGUACCAACAGAAGAAGCGACGGCUAAAUACGUGCCAGCAGCCGCGGUAAUACGUAUGUCGCAAGCGUUAUCCGGAUUUAUUGGGCGUAAAGCGCGUCUAGGCGGAAAAAUAAGUCUGAUGUUAAAAUGCGGGGCUCAACUCCGUANUGCGUUGGAAACUGUUUUUCUAGAGUACUGGAGAGGUGGGCGGAACUGCAAGUGUAGAGGUGAAAUUCGUAGAUAUUUGUAGGAAUG